AAACAAAAAAAAAAAGAGAUAUUAAUAGGCUAUAUUCAAAUAUUUGGGAUUCGGCUGGAUUUUAUGGCGGAGACAUAAAUAAAGUUAUUGACGUGAUGUAAAUUGCAAGUGAUAAAGUUUUAUCGGGCCAGUCUUAACUCCUCGAGAUGGAGAGACCAUACGGAUUGAAAGUUCUCUAUCAAACCAAGAAUAUUGCUUUUCAAUCCACAAAGUGUGUAGCCACGAUCUAUCAAAACUCAAGCUUCGACCAGGGAGAAUCUAGAAGUUUAAUGGAAACGUAACUUCUUGCAAUAAAUUCAUCAAACACCUUUGGCACAAAACGUUUUACCUAAAAAUUUAGCAAAACCCAAUUAUAACUAACUCAAGCUUCAGGUAGCAUCAGUCAUAUGCUUCAUAUUAAACCCAGUUUCAUUGGUAGUGUUAUUCUAGCAAGGAGAGGCAAAAAGGAAAGGCAAGAAAACCAAAUGAAAAGAAGGUUAAAUCAAAUUUAACCCAAUCGCUUAGACCACAAAUUAAAGUAGAAACUAUUUAUAUUGAUAAAUGUUCUGCAUAUAAGGAUAAAAAACAUGAGAUACAAAGUAGAAGCAAAGGGUAGAAGAGAAAAUCCAAAACAAAUAACAUCAACAACAAAGAAGAAUAGCAGACAAAACAUAAAAAUAAAAUAGGAAAAAAGUUGAAACAAAAAAUAGCUGACAGACUAACCUGAACCUUGCAACACCCAAAGUAGAAGACCGUUGAAGGUAAUUACUCCAAGCCAGAAGCUAAUGAAAUAGGAAGAAAGCCAUUGGAAAAAAGUAUGUAGGAUAAGAUUGAAAGAGAGGAGGAUGAGAAGAUUAAAGCAAAAAUUGAGGUAAAGGUCUAUCUAAACUUGCGAUGAGAAGAUGAAUGGAAGGUGAAAGAGUUGGAAAGAGGGAUUAAAGUGAGUUUCUAGAAUUAUGUG
rnacentral:lncRNA from 1 species